AGUUCGGAUCGCAGGCUGCAACCCGCCUGCGUGAAGUCGGAAUCGCUAGUAAUCGCGGAUCAGCAUGCCGCGGUGAAUACGUUCCCGGGCCUUGUACACACCGCCCGUCACACCACGAGAGUCGGGAACACCCGAAGCCCGUAGCCUAACAGCAAUGAGGGCGCGGUCGAAGGUGGGUUCGAUAAUUGGGGUGAAGUCGUAACAAGGUAAC
rnacentral:rRNA from 1 species